rnacentral:rRNA from 1 species
GGGUGAAGCUGCGCCGGAAGGCAGUGGUGGACGGUUCACGAGUGAGAAUGCAGGCAUGAGUAGCGAUACAUACGUGAGAAACGUGUGCGCCGAUUGACUAAGGGUUCCUGGGUCAAGCUGAUCUGCCCAGGGUAAGUCGGGACCUAAGGCGAGGCCGACAGGCGUAGUCGAUGGAUAACCGGUUGAUAUUCCGGUACCCGCUGUGAAGCGUCAAACAUCGA